rnacentral:ncRNA from 1 species
ACCUUCCUUGUCUUGGGGAGCAGAAAUGUUCAAUGAACGUCUAGUGAGGACAUUGCUGCUGACACCAAUGAUGACACCCCCGCUCGCCGAUCGUUCGCGAUUGGAGUUCGGAAUUUUUGGACCA